rnacentral:misc_RNA from 1 species
AGGACAUAUGACCUUAUUCAUGCCAAUGGCGUUUUUAGUUUGUACAAGGAUAAAUGUAACGUAGAGGACAUUCUUCUGGAGAUGGAUCGAAUUUUGAGACCAGAAGGUGCAAUUAUAUUCCGCGAUGAAGUUGAUGUGCUAAUUCAGGUGCGGAAGAUAGUAGGAGGAAUGAGAUGGGAUACUAAAAUGGUGGACCAUGAAGAUGGUCCUCUAGUUCCUGAGAAGAUACUAGUCGCUGUGAAGCAGUACUGGGUUGCCGGCGGAAACUAUGGAGAAAUUGGAAAGGAUGAAACUCUGCAACAUGGCUGUUUGAGCUGGUAAAGUGGCGAUACGAGGCUGAGCUACAUGAAUUGAUGAUGCAUUUAAUCAUGAUCAUCUUUAAUUGCAGAGUGCUUUUUAGCCUUUAGCAUAGGCACAUGAUAUAUAUUUUAAAUAUUAUUAAUUGGCCAUGUUAUUUU